ACGCUCGACACCUACGGGAGGAGCAGUGGGGAAUAUUGCACAAUGGGGGAAACCCUGAUGCAGCGACGCCGCGUGAGUGAAGAAGUAUUUCGGUAUGUAAAGCUCUAUCAGCAGGGAAGAUCAUGACGGUACCUGACUAAGAAGCUCCGGCUAAAUACGUGCCAGCAGCCGCGGUAAUCUGAGCGGGCUGGCAAGGC
rnacentral:rRNA from 1 species